rnacentral:rRNA from 1 species
UACGUAGGUGGCAAGCGUUGUCCGGAUUUACUGGGCGUAAAGAGCGCGCAGGCGGUCGUUCAAGUCGCGUGUGAAAGCCCCCGGCUCAACUGGGGAGGGUCACGCGAUACUGAUCGACUCGAAGGCAGGAGAGGGUAGUGGAAUUCCCGGUGUAGUGGUGAAAUGCGUAGAUAUCGGGAGGAACACCAGUGGCGAAGGCGACUACCUGGCCUGUUCUUGACGCUGAGGCGCGGAAGCUAGGGGAGCAAACGGG